rnacentral:rRNA from 1 species
GAUGAACGCUAGCUACAGGCUUAACACAUGCAAGUCGAGGGGAAACGACAUCGAAAGCUUGCUUUUGAUGGGCGUCGACCGGCGCACGGGUGAGUAACGCGUAUCCAACCUGCCCAUCACUUGGGAAUAACCUUGCGAAAGUAAGACUAAUACCCAAUGAUAUCCCACGAAGGCAUCGGAAUGGGAUUAAAGAUUUAUCGGUGAUGGAUGGGGAUGCGUCUGAUUAGCUUGUUGGCGGGGUAACGGCCCACCAAGGCGACGAUCAGUAGGGGUUCUGAGAGGAAGGUCCCCCACAUUGGAACUGAGACACGGUCCAAACUCCUACGGGAGGCAGCAGUGAGGAAUAUUGGUCAAUGGGCGAGAGCCUGAACCAGCCAAGUAGCGUGCAGGAAGACGGCCCUAUGGGUUGUAAACUGCUUUUAUAAGGGAAUAAAGUGGGUCACGUGUGACUUUUUGCAUGUACCUUAUGAAUAAGGACCGGCUAAUUCCGUG